rnacentral:tRNA from 1 species
GGGCCGUUAGCUCAGGUGGUUAGAGCGUAGAGCUGAUAACUCUAAUGUCGGAGGUUCAAGUCCCCCACGACCCA